rnacentral:lncRNA from 1 species
GCUUGGUGAUGCAGGCCCAUAAUCCCAGCGAUUUGGGAGGCUGAGGCAGAGGAUGGUAAGUUUAAAGCCAGUCUCAGCAACUUAGUGGGGCACUUAGCAAUUCAGAAAGACCCUGUCUCUAAUAAAAUGUAUUUUUUUUUAGAAGGGCUGGGGAUAUUGUUCAGUGGUCAAACACCCCUGGGUUCAAUCCCCGGUACAAAAAAAAAAAAAAAAGGUAGGGGGACUAGAUCCAAUGUGUCCUUGACUUAACCCAGAAAGCAGUUUGACUCUAAAGUCGAAAUGACAAACUGAAAGGCUGGGCACAGAGUACUCAGUGGUGUGUCUCUUGCCUAGCAUGCAAGAGGCCCUGGGUUCAAAUCUGUAGCAUCAUGAAAAGGAAGAGCCCACAACAAAAUGAUGAGUAGCUAUACUAUUGCAGCAUCAGACUGGUGGCUGGGUGGUAUUCAAAUAUGGUAUAAUAGUGCUUCAGGAUUCAAUAAACUAAAGUUAAUUUAGAUAAUAAAAUAAAUGAGGAUGAACGUAUAAAAUGAUUUCCUGCAGACCUUAAUGGUGACAGGAUAUUUCACAUUAAGAGAGUAGUGGAACUGACCAUCAUAUUUUGCUUUAAAGAACAGUUGAUAAGAGGGGAUAGAUUCUACCUGAACCAUACCCAAAAGAGAUUAUUUGGGGCAGAGGUGAGGGGAGGAAAGAAUGGGCAGAGAAAUAAUUGUAUGGUUGAAAUCUAUAUAUGCAGUUGUCUUGAAAGUAUUUGUGAAUUUGAUUAGACCUAAAAUAUUCAAUUUAAGAAUUAUUUAUCCAUUGUAAUUUUAAAAAUAGAAACAAUCCAUGACUAAAAGACAUGCUUGCCAGGUGCAGUGGUGCAUGCCUGUGAUCCCAGCAACUCAGGAGGCUGAGGCAGAGGAUAAUGAGUUCAAAGCCAGUCUCAGCAACCUUAGUGAGGUACUUAGCAAUUCAGCGAGACCCGUCCCUAAUAAACUAUUAAAAAAGGUCUGGGGAUGUGAUUAAGCACCCCUGGGUUCAAUCCCCAGUACCAAAAAAAAAAAAAAGCCCUAAAGAUUAGCUUAUUAAUGAUAGCUUGGGAAAGUUCAGCAAAUGAAAAGAUUUUAACUCAAUAUUUUUCAAAAUUAUUUUAGCUUCAUCAAUUUAAACCUGAUUUGGGUAUAGGCAGGUGCUACAC